GUGUGGGAAUUCUGGGAGAUACAAUUCAAGUUGAGAUUUGGAUGGGGAUACAGCCAAACCAUAACAAGGCAGGAAUUAUUAUUAACCCAUCUUCCUAAUAAGGGAACUGAGGCUGAAAGGAAGGGAUUUACCCAGAAUCACACAGCUGGGAAAUGAGCAAGCCAGGACUUGCCUCAGGUAUGAUGACCCCAAAGUCCAGGCAUACCCUUAGCCCCCAGGGAGGGUGGGCCUUUGCCCAUCUGCCCUCACUGCCUGCCCUGUCUUGCAGGAAUUUCUACAAGGAUUAUCAGCAGCUGGCCCGUGAGACACAGGAGGAGGUGAAGAGCUGGAAGUCCUCCUUUCUGAGGGCUGGCAUGUACCUUGAGUGUGUUGGGGCCAGCAAGACCGAGGGGAAUGGCUCCGAUAGCUUCAUGCACUCCAUGGACCACAGCUGGAGCAGCAAGUGGAGACCAUUCAGAACAUGGCCAUUGUCAACAAGAAUGUGCAGGACCUCAUGCCCAAGACCAUCAUCCACCUCAUGAUCAACAACGUGCAUGUGCCGCCUCAUGGGGACCAAGGAGUUCAUCUUCUUGGAGCUGCUGGCCAGCCUGUACUCGAGUGGGAACCAGAACAUGCUGAUGGAGGAGUGGACAGAGCAGGCACAGCGGGGAGACCAGAUGCUGCGCAUGCACCACGUGCUGAGGGAGGCGCCCAGCACCAUUGGUGACAUCAACACGACCACUGUCAGCACGCCCACGGGCGCCCGUGGAUGACUCUUGGCCGCAGGUGCAGAGCGUCCUGGCCUGACGCAGGCACCAGGGGGCUUCCCCGACCCCUUUGGCCCUCCCCUGGCAGGUGCCCUCGCGCUCCCGCCCGGGGUCCCCAGGUGAGUAGGAGCUGAAUAGGGCGGGAGAGGCUGCCGGACGGACGUGGCCAGGAGGGAAAUGGGGCUGGAUUCCAGAGUAUCGGACCUGGUAGCCAGAACUGGCCGUCUCCAUCCCAGGCACUCGGACCGUGGGUGCUGGAGCCCUGAGUGGCCGAGGGCUGACGGAGCCUGCCCCCAAAGGAGUACUGAGUCCCGGAGGUGGUUGUUUUUAGGGAGGGGGCUAUGGGGCUCGUCCCACCUGCCCGCUUCUUUCCAGCACUUACAUGGCGCUUCCCUCCAUAUUCACUCUUGGCAGCUGCCCUACACCUUGCAUUCCUCCUCCUUUCUUCUGUGUGUGCUCCAUCCUCCAUUCCCUCCAACUCCUCUCCCAGCCCCUGGGGAGCCUACCUCAGGUCAGAGAGUCUGAACUCCGAUCUGCUCUGGUUGUGUGGAUUUCCUUCAGCUACCCUGAUGUCCCCACUUCCAAGUCCUGACUCCUUUGAGCCAUUCCAAGGGGUGUCCGGCCACUGGCCCACAGGAGCUCAGAGACCAGGCUGUGACUGUGUGACCAUCAAGGUGUGUUAUGUGUGGGGGGGAGCUUGCACACGAGUGUGAGUGUGUAAGAAUGGCACCCAGGCCUGGACCAGGACAGGAGCCUGGGGGCCAUGGGCAACCUGAUAUUUUCCUCCACCCCCACCACGCCCACACCCCCGCCCCACCCUACGGGAUCUAAACCAAUAUAGUAGGGCUGGCUGCAGGGGCAGGGACAGGAGUGUCUGAAGCCUGCUUCACUUCCGAAGAUUUCUAAGGAAAAGCGUUCUGCAUCUUUUGGCUUGGACUUGUUGACCCAUGGCCCUCUUGCAAGGACAUUCACUCUGAUUCCCAGUGUGCCCUGUUUCCACUGGCCACGUUCUCUAAGGAAGAACAAUAGCAUCUGUUUUUGUCUCCAAA